rnacentral:rRNA from 1 species
GAUGAACGCUGGCGGCGUGCCUAAUACAUGCAAGUCGAGCGAACAGAUGAGGAGCUUGCUCCUCUGACGUUAGCGGCGGACGGGUGAGUAACACGUGGAUAACCUACCUAUAAGACUGGGAUAACUUCGGGAAACCGGAGCUAAUACCGGAUAAUAUAUUGAACCGCAUGGUUCAAUAGUGAAAGACGGUUUUGCUGUCACUUAUAGAUGGGUCCGCGCCGCAUUAGCUAGUUGGUAAGGUAACGGCUUACCAAGGCAACGAUGCGUAGCCGACCUGAGAGGGUGAUCGGCCACACUGGAACUGAGACACGGUCCAGACUCCUACGGGAGGCAGCAGUAGGGAAUCUUCCGCAAUGGGCGAAAGCUUGACGGAGCAACGCCGCGUGAGUGAUGAAGGUCUUCGGAUCGUAAAACUCUGUUAUUAGGGAAGAACAAAUGUGUAAGUAACUAUGCACGUCUUGACGGUACCUAAUCAGAAAGCCACGGCUAACUACGUG